rnacentral:piRNA from 1 species
UUAUUUUCCUGGCAGCCUUUUGUUAC